UCGCCAUAGUAUAGUAAACUUUACAUAUCUUUGUCCUCAACACUGCUAUUCAUGAGCCGAGUACAGAAAUCGUCCUGAAAUGCAAUUUUUUGCUGAGUAUCUUGUUUCACUUCUUUAUCACUGGUGCGUACCGCUAAGAGUACCAGUUAUCUUGAGUAAACAGAGAAAUAAGAGGGAGUACCACUCAACACAGUUAGCGAGUCAGGAAUGUACCUAAAAGGUUUGAGAAUCGUUAACCACAAUCAUUAUAUAAGCGACAGCAGUUUGCACUAUCAUAUUCUUGCAUCGCAAUCGUUAUUGCAAUGGUUCAGAAGGUCAAUCAGUGAAUUAGUAAAAAAUGCAUCCAAAUAAAGUACUCUUCUUAGUCUCUGCCCUAUUGUUCGAAAGGGCAGCCGGUUGUGAAUCGAACGAGGGAUCGAACGGAGGUUGGGGAAGUGGAUGGGGAGGAUGGAAAGGUGGAUGGGGAAGUGGAUGGAAGGGCGGAUGGGGUACUGGAUCGAAAGGUGGAUCAAAAGGUGGCUCAAAAGGUGGAUCAAUAUAUAAUGUUGCUCCACACUGUCCCAAUUUAGACUUUGGAUGGCGUGCAGAUGAGUGUGACCGGAUGAACUUCUCAAUGGACCUAUUGGCUGUAGAUUGGAUAGAAUCCGAGACUUACGGUGUUACUGUUAAGGUACAGGGUGCUGAAAGCAUUGACUGGAAGUACCUCUCCUCCUUGAAACUGACAGGUAUUGACGGUCCUCAGAGUUGUGUAGAGGUUACAAAAUCGAACAAAGACUGUUCGAUUAAUUCUGCAACCGAAUUCACCGUUUCAUUCCCAGUUUACGCUCAGAAGAUUGAAAAUGAACCUUGUCAGGUUUUGAUGCCAUCAUUUCAAAUCGAAUACGAAUUUUUAAAGGGUGAGGCUCAGCAAUACAGUGAAGGCUGGAAAUGGGGCGAAACU
rnacentral:lncRNA from 1 species